UACUCGAGUGGCGAACGGGUGAGUAACACGUGGGUGAUCUGCCCUGCACUUCGGGAUAAGCCUGGGAAACUGGGUCUAAUACCGGAUAGGAGCCAUUUUUAGUGUGAUGGUUGGAAAGUUUUUCGGUGUAGGAUGAGCUCGCGGCCUAUCAGCUUGUUGGUGGGGUAAUGGCCUACCAAGGCGGCGACGGGUAGCCGGCCUGAGAGGGUGGACGGCCACAUUGGGACUGAGAUACGGCCCAGACUCCUACGGGAGGCAGCAGUGGGGAAUAUUGCACAAUGGGCGCAAGCCUGAUGCAGCGACGCCGCGUGGGGGAUGACGGCCUUCGGGUUGUAAACUCCUUUCGCUAGGGACGAAGCUUUUUGUGACGGUACCUAGAUAAGAAGCACCGGCUAACUACGUGCCAGCAGCCGCGGUAAUACGUAGGGUGCGAGCGUUGUCCGGAAUUAUUGGGCGUAAAGCGCGCGUAGGCGGUUUUUUAAGUCUGAUGUGAAAGCCCACGGCUCAACCGUGGAGGGUCAUUGGAAACUGGAAAACUUGAGUGCAGAAGAGGAAAGUGGAAUUCCAUGUGUAGCGGUGAAAUGCGCAGAUAUCAGGAGGAACACCGAUGGCGAAGGCAGGUUACUGGGCAGUUACUGACGCUGAGGAGCGAAAGCAUGGGUAGCGAACAGGAUUAGAUACCCUGGUAGUCCAUGCCGUAAACGGUGGGCGCUAGGUGUGAGGGUCUUUUCACGACUUUCGUGCCGUAGCUAACGCAUUAAGCGCCCCGCCUGGGGAGUACGCCGCAAGGC
rnacentral:rRNA from 1 species